GUGUGUGUGUGUGUGUGUGUGUGUGUGUGUGGUUGCAAAUUGACUUGAUAUGGGCAGAAAAACCACAUGCCUCCAGCUGCCAGCGCUCUCUAUAGGCUUAAUGCAAUCAGCAGGCUGUUAGGAGGUCUCAUGACAUAAAAUGGGCAUGUCCACUCAGUCACAACACUUUUGGUCUUAUAUAUUGUUUACGUGAUAAGCUGCAAUAAAGUGAUGAUUACAAACU